rnacentral:rRNA from 1 species
GGAGGGUGCAAGCGUUAUCCGGAUUCACUGGGUUUAAAGGGUGCGUAGGUGGGUAGGUAAGUCAGUGGUGAAAUCCCCGAGCUUAACUUGGGAACUGCCGUUGAUACUAUCUAUCUUGAAUAUCGUGGAGGUAAGCGGAAUAUGUCAUGUAGCGGUGAAAUGCUUAGAUAUGACAUAGAACACCCAUUGCGAAGGCAGCUUACUACACGAUCAUUGACACUGAGGCACGAAAGCGUGGGGAGCAAACAGGAUUAGAUACCCUGGUAGUCCACGCCCUAAACGAUGGAUACUCGACAUCAGCGAUACACUGUUGGUGUCUGAGCGAAAGCAUUAAGUAUCCCACCUGGGAAGUACGAUCGCAAGAUUGAA